AGGGAAAUACCUCAGUGGUAGAGUGUGUGCUUAGCAUGCACGAGGUCCUGGGUUCAAUCCCCAGUACCUCUG
rnacentral:tRNA from 1 species